AUUAAAUUAAUUGACCUAGCUAGCUAAUUCAAUUGUGGCUAAAUUCAAAAAAUUCAAACUUCCUGUCGCGCUUCGCCGCGGGAGUGUGAUCAUUUUCUUCCGCACAACGCAAAAUGGCAAGCCAAUCCUAUUGCAUAGGAAGCUCAAUAAGAAGCCUCACAAGUAUCGACCGUUGGAGCAGCGUGCACAUGUUGAGAAGAAAGCAAGGAGGAAGGAGAGGAAACAUAACCAGGCACGGAUUCAUGGUAGUUCUAGAGGAGCAGCAGAGGGUAGCACUUCUGCAGCAGGAGUAAAAGGCAAAAGGAGAGAGAUAUAUUACCACAAAAGGCCCGAUGUAGCAAGACACUACAAGGACAGAAUACAAACUACAUUCACCAAAGGAAACAUUGAUAAAAACCGACUAUAGAUUAAAAUUGUAACUUUUCCACUCGCCCCAUGUGAUGCCUAUGAACUUCGAUCUAUUUAAUACCCAAUCAUACGUUGCCUCUUUUAUCUCCUGGAUGACCUUGAAAGGGCUGCUGUUUUUUUGUUAAAGACUUUUCCGUUGCGCGCAUUCCAAAUACUCCAAAUGGUCUGUGAGUACACCGCGUGCUUCAACAACUUAUGCUUUGUCGAGCCUCGAAAUUUUCAAUACUUUGGAAUGCUUCCUGAAUCGAAUCCCACGGCUGCACACUUGUUUCUUUUACCCACCACAGAACCUAGCUCCAAAUCAUUUUAGCUAGUACGCAUCGGAAUAAGCUUUAAACAAUCAUCAUGCCCCGAUUGACAAUCCGUUGCCGGUUGGGGUGUGACAUAAACCGUUUUGCGUUUUUUUAAUCAAAAUAAGUUCCUAUUAGGUUAAAGUGAAUAUGUGUGAUACAAUGAUACUUAUGUCUCCAUACUGUCGUACCCUGCAUAGUUUCAACUAAAAAUUUAGCAUUCUAGAACAUUUUUGGGCCAUCUAGUCACUUCAAGAGCUGACCAGAAGACUCCGGAACAAUCCAUAUUUUUCCAGUAAUUGGGGGCAUUAGAAACAUGAUUUCCAGCCAAGAAUGGCCUGAAAAUGUAUUUGUAUGCUUGAAAAAGGCUCACAAGUCAAAAAAACCUGAGUUUGGGUUCUCACAACAAAUACCAUUAUUAAAAUAGGCAUCCGACACUUCUCAACCAACACUUGAAAGAAUUAGUGUAACUUAUUAUUAUAAAAGAGAUGAUCAAAACAACAUUUUCUAUAUCUUUAAUGACAAAUCACACAAUCCCUAGGCCUUCAUGUAAUUUUGUAUUCCCUUUUACAAAACAACUCAGUGGACAGAAGCAGCAUCCAACGACUGUGUGUACUCGAGCUUUAUUUAACGCCGAACACCCCACUCCAUAGCGUCCGGGCACACCGCCCCCGCUGCGUUGUCGCUUGAAUUUGUUCCGGCUUGCGAUGUGUAUGACGAAUGAAAAAUGGUUGGGAUGUGUGAUUAUAACGGAGAAAUAAAAGAGGACACACACCGAAACACACAGGGGCAUUAUAGUAAUUAUCAUAUUAAUUUAAGACAAGAGGAGCAUUCCCGCAUUACACACACUCAGCUAUAUAUACACAUUCAUAAACUCUCACAUCUCUCUCUCGAAGCUUCUUCCCCAAGCAACAGGAUGUUGAUAUUAUGCGACUCGUCGUUCAUUUCGUGGGUUGCUUCCCACCGCAAACGCGAAAGCAUUCAUCCGGAACUGUCGGCACAUAUUCGUCGUUACACCUUGGUUUCGACAAGGUGGUGGGGUGUUCUGAAGCGAUGAUUCGUACUUGGGACAAUGGGGAUAACAAGCUUGCUGACUUGGUGGAACAUGCCAACCUAAACGACCUUCAAGAUGUGUGUGCAAAUCAGGUUCAAUGCAGAGACACGUUUACCUGUUGCCGGGAAGCUUUGUUGGUAAAGAAAUGGAAGGGAUAUGUUCUUGCAACCAACACUUUGAAAUGAUAUGAAGAUUUAGUAUAUCGCCACCGUAUCCCGACAAUCUAUGUUGAGAAUGGUCGACUAAAGGUACUCUUUAAGACGCGCAUUAAGAAGUUUCGUAAGGCUGAGAGGAGGGCUGAGAGGAGGAGGCGGGCUGAGUGAUAGUGCUUCUCAGAGUUCUGGGCGGAUUGAUACCACUCUGUAACACAACUUUGUCAUGCUUUUCUUAGUUUGUCAAACUUUACCUGUUGCUUAAUAAUGAAGACAAGGCUAAACAAACUUAUUUCCUCUA